rfam:Armatimonadetes bacterium 13_1_40CM_64_14 13_1_40cm_scaffold_11149, whole genome shotgun sequence.
CGCGACAAAGGCAAACCCGGCGAAAGCCGGGGACGCAAAGCUCCGAGGCUACCGCACGUCGUUCCGUGCCACGCCAGUCGAGCCGCCGAAC